CUUGUUGUUGCAGCUUGUGCUCAUUAGAGUAAAUGCUAAAUGUUCAUAUAUAGAGCACAUUAGAAGCCAACAUUCUGCGAGCUAAAGAUCAUGGAGGCAAUAAACUUUUGUACUUCUGUACAUUGUACCAAGCAGUAGUUUGCAGAAGUAAAAUGUUGAGGAAAUAUAUUACGCUCUGCAAGAAACAAUACAUAUUUAUACAUGAUACUCUAGAUUGAACUUAUAGUUGUUCGUAUGUAGGUAACAAAUUGUUCAAUAAAAUACCACUAUUUGUCUAAGUAUUUACUAAGCAUGCAUAUAAACAGAAUGUGCUUGGCUCAUGCCUGCCCCUUCUGCAGUGUGAAGGGAAAAUGAUUAAAUGUAAUUGCAGUACUUAACCUACUCUUCUUUUACAGAGAGUAAUGUAACAUUUAUUGACAUUAUCUGUUGGUGUAAUGACACCAUUUUCCCUAAUGGCUUAGUAAUAAAAUUAUUACUGUUAAAUUAUCCUUCAGGUAUGUCACAUGGAGCACUUAACUAAACAAACUUCGUUCUCAGCUAGAGUUUGAUGCAAGCUAUCGAACUGUUCACCAUUCCACUGCCUUACAGAACCACCCACUGUAACUGUUUUGAAGCCAUAGUUGCUUGCACCAUUCUCCCAGAGGUGGACUUGGGGAUGUAUUUGGGGGAGGAGUGAAACAGUCGGUCAGAACUAGUCGUACAGCAAAAAUUUGAGGGAGCCAUCUGGAGGUGGCAUUGAGGCAGCAACAACAUACAUCACAACCUGUCCGUGGAAAUGGCAUGGCAAGCCGUUCCACAGGACUACAUCCAGCAUCUCUAUGAUCGUCUCCAUGGGAGAAUAGCAGCCUGCAUUGCUGCGAAAGUUGGAUAUACACUGUACUAGUGCCGACAUUGUGCAUGCUCUGUUGCCUGUGUCUAUGUGCCUGUGGUUCUGUCAGUGUGAUCAUGUGAUGUAUCUGAGCCCAGGAAUGUGUCAAUAAAGUUUCCCCUUCCUGGGACAAUGAAUUCACGGUGUUCUUAUUUCAAUUUCCAGGAGUGUACAUCACAACCUGUCCGUGAUGCGUCCGGCGCCAUCACCACAUACAGUUAAAUUGUUGGCUACCCUCACCACAUGUGGGGGUAUCAGCGACUCCGUAGCAGCAUCCGGGCCCAUCGUGGACGCCGUCCAUGUGUGCUGGACCAUCGCAGGUGCAUUGGUCAUACAAUUUUGAUGCAAAAGUGAACCUGAAAACAUGAUAAAAUGUGGAUGCCUCUAGAGAAAGCUCAGUGUGUGUGGCCCGGUAGAUACAGACGAUACCUGAUGCCCAAAUGCAACGAACCUUUCAGACUUGGAAUACAUCAUUUAUGGAAACAGCUAUGGAAUGGAAUAAAAAGAGCUUUCAAGUUAUAAUUGAAGAAUACAGCAAGAAAAGGUCUCUCUAUGACCUAACAGGUACUUUGUACCACAAUAAGGCAAUCUACAUAUCUACAAAUGUUUGAUUCUGAGAUUAUACAAGCACGCCAGGAAGGAAAGCUUGGCCAGAAUAGGAGAAAAAGUGAGAAAAGUUGUGUCUGGUGUGACGAACGAGGAAUGUGAAGCAUGCUUAGCCUCCUUACGUUUGCAUUAUUCAGCUGAACUCGAAAAGAUGUGGGGAAAAAUGCGCAGUAGCUCAGGCGGGACCACCCGUAAACCAAGCGUGUGGUGGUUUGACCUAUUGGCAUAUUUGAAAGACCACAUUAUGCAUAGAAAACUGCUGACAGAUAUCCCACUCUCUGUCUACUCAAGAGACAUUUACAGUGGGGUGUGCAGUUGAGAACAGUUCUCCAUCUACCCCUCAGUGCUCACCAGAAUUAUCCAAAGUGGGGCACUAUGCCACUUCCAAGAAGCAGGCCAAAGAUGUCCUGGUAAGCAGCACAUUGUCAAUGCUGCGAGGCAAACAAACAGCAAUGAGGAUGGCAAGUUGGGCCAGUAUGUUGCAGCUGAGCUGAUUACAACUAAAAAUAGAAAAUUGAAGGCAGAGACAAAGUGCCUUAUCACGAAUGUCAUCAUGGGUGCAAUUCAGAAAGUUACUGAUUGUUAAUUUUUAAAUAAAAGAUUGAAAAUUAAAAA